UCGCGACCCGUUGGGUGCCGGCCUACGGCCCGGUUGGUCGACUGUCGCGUCGCGUUCACGCGUGCACGCGGCAGACCACCGGUCGCCCGGCCGGCUGCCCGGCGGUAUAGAACGCAUUGAAAUGGUAAUGAGCCGCACACUUGCUGUGCGCCUGGCUCGUCGGCAGACUCGCCUCACUCGGAUUUACGGACCUAGCGCCGUUGCCGGGUGCUUGGUGUGGUUGUUAGUCGACGAUGUCCUCAGGCCGGCUAUUCUUUACCAGUCGGCGACGCUACUGCUUUGGGUACUUUCAGGACCCGUCUUGAAACACGGACCAAGGAGUCUAACAUGUGCGCGAGUCAUUGGGAUUUUUAAAGCCUAAAGGCGCAAUGAAAGUGAAAGUCGGCCUUGCGUCGACUGAGGGAGGAUGGCUCGCGUCACGAUGCGAGCCCGCACUCCCGGGGCGUCUCGUGCUCAUUGCGAGCAGAGGCGCACCCAGAGCGUACACGUUGGGACCCGAAAGAUGGUGAACUAUGCCUGGUCAGGACGAAGUCAGGGGAAACCCUGAUGGAGGUCCGUAGCGAUUCUGACGUGCAAAUCGAUCGUCGGAACUGGGUAUAGGGGCGAAAGACUAAUCGAACCAUCUAGUAGCUGGUUCCCUCCGAAG
rnacentral:rRNA from 1 species